UACAGAGGUCCCAAGCGUUGUUCGGAUUCAUUGGGCGUAAAGGGUGCGUAGGUGGCGCUGUAAGUCGGGUGUGAAAUUUCGGAGCUUAACUCCGAAACUGCAUUCGAUACUGCGGUGCUUGAGGACUGGAGAGGAGACUGGAAUUCAUGGUGUAGCAGUGAAAUGCGUAGAGAUCAUGAGGAAGACCAGUGGCGAAGGCGGGUCUCUGGACAACACCUGACACUGAGGCGCGAAAGCUAGGGGAGCAAACAGG
rnacentral:rRNA from 1 species